CUGGGCAGCGGUGGCCGCAGCUCUAUCGCAUUUUGUGUUUGUGGCGUGAAGGGAGUGGAGUCCUUAUCAGGUAGAUUUGUUUAGUGCGGCACCCGUCCACCAUGCCCUCCAGGACAGCACCUAGUUCUAAUCGGAGAAGUCGCAGAGCUGUCAAGAAGGUCAGUUGGAGGCUACGGUUGUCCAGUUGACGGGGGGGAUGGCGCAGCUCUAGCGGCACCGGCACCGGAAGUGAAGGGGCCGCUGGCGGCCAUGGCAAAAAUAAGACUGACCUUGUGGUAACAUGAAGCAAGGUGUUCCAGUUUUAGAAGACCUGGAUCUGCAGUCUAUUGAAAACUCUGUUUCUGAUUUUUGUUGGCUGGGCGCGGUGGCUCAGCCUAUAAUC